rnacentral:tRNA from 1 species
GGGGGAGUAACUCAGUCGGUCAGAGUAGGCGACUCAUAAUCGCUUAGUCGGGGGUUCGAGUCCCUCCUCCCCUA